GACGAACGCUGGCGGCGUGCCUAAUACAUGCAAGUUGAGCGAUGAAGCUUGGUGCUUGCACCAAUUUGAAGAGCAGCGAACGGGUGAGUAACGCGUGGGGAAUCUGCCUUUGAGCGGGGGACAACAUUUGGAAACGAAUGCUAAUACCGCAUAACAACUUUAAACAUAAGUUUUAAGUUUGAAAGAUGCAAUUGCAUCACUCAAAGAUGAUCCCGCGUUGUAUUAGCUAGUUGGUGAGGUAAAGGCUCACCAAGGCGAUGAUACAUAGCCGACCUGAGAGGGUGGUCGGCCACAUUGGGAGGGAGACACGGCCCAAACUGAUACGGGAGGGAGCAGUAGGGAAUCUUCGGGAAUGGACGAAAGUCAGACCGAGCAACGCGGCGUGAGUGAAGAAGGUUGUCGGAUCGUAAAACACUGUUGGUAGAGAAGAAAGUGGGUGAGAGUGGAAAGCACAGCAAGUGACGGUAACUACUAAGAAAGGGACGGCUAACUACGUG
rnacentral:rRNA from 1 species